rnacentral:rRNA from 1 species
UAGGGAAUCUUCCACAAUGGACGCGAGUCUGAUGGAGCAACGCCGCGUGAGUGAAGAAGGUCUUCGGAUCGUAAAACUCUGUUGUUAGAGAAGAACACGAGUGAGAGUAACUGUUCAUUCGAUGACGGUAUCUAACCAGCAAGUCACGGCUAACUACGUGCCAG